rnacentral:rRNA from 1 species
UGCCAGACUCCUACGGGAGGCAGCAGUGGGGAAUAUUGCACAAUGGGCGAAAGCCUGAUGCAGCAACGCCGCGUGAAGGAAGAAGGGUUUCGGCUCGUAAACUUCUAUCAACAGGGACGAAGGAAAUGACGGUACCUGAAUAAGAAGCCCCGGCUAACUACGUGCCAGCAGCCGCGGUAAUACGUAGGGGGCAAGCGUUAUCCGGAUUUACUGGGUGUAAAGGGAGCGUAGACGGCUAAUCAAGUCAGAAGUGAAAACCCAGGGCUCAACCUUGGGACUGCUUUUGAAACUGAGUAGCUAGAGUGCAGGAGAGGUAAGCGGAAUUCCUAGUGUAGCGGUGAAAUGCGUAGAUAUUAGGAGGAACACCAGUGGCGAAGGCGGCUUACUGGACGAUGACUGACGUUGAGGCUCGAAAGCGUGGGGAGCAAACAGGAUUAGAUACCCGUGUAC